AAAGAAAAAGAGAGGAAAAUCGGCAACAAUAGUGACAACAAGAACAAAAUAACAAGAAAACUCCCACAAAGACAGAAGGAAGACAAUGCAGCUAGUGAGCAAAUUAGGAAUUUGAAAGCAUCUUCUGAGAGCUUGAAUGAUGAAUGUACUGAGGUUCCUAAGGGUGAGGUGAGAAGACCCAUCCAGCAUCACAAGACCCAUUCAAGGUGAUGUGGCUAGUUUGUGCUGAAGGCAGAAGUUUCCAGAAUUCCUGACCCUCAUGCUAUGGAACAGUCCUUGUGAGAAUAUCAGAGAUGAAUGAACAAGGUAGAAAUUUUAAAAAUUGGAAGAUGAGAUAUGAAUUCCUUUCAAGAACUGGAUUUGAAUAGAGAUUACAGUAGAAGGAAGGCUCAUACUGAGACCUGAGAAAGUUGAGGCCAGAUCAGGGUCCCCUUUCUGGGUUGCAAGAGUUAAUAUCGUAAGCAAAUGCAAAGCGCUGUCAAAGUGGGCCUUCCAGGUUCUAAGAGAGCAGGUGGUCCUGGAGGAGGUCUUCAGGGCUGAUUUGAGAAGAGACUCAGAGGAAUAGACAGGGGACGGAUGAGAUGAACUCCUGAGUUUGGAAUUUGAGUUGAUGUUGGGGCCAGUCUCAAACUGGUGUUAGAGAAUUGUCAUUUUUGGAGCAAAAAGAAUUGUAAGGGAGGACUUUUUAGAAGCUAGUGCUCUAAGUGCUACAGAACUGAGAGUAAAGGUGAAGGCCAAGAAGGAUCCCGCUCAGAUGAAGCCAGCCGCGCCUGCCUGGCGGUGAAAGCCCAGCCAGGGAAGAGGUCUUGUGGAACUUGUGAUAGACAGGAGAGGAAAGGUCAGGUGUGCAUUUGACUCAAAUGCAUUUUAACAAAGUGUCCAUAUAACUCUGAUUCUCCUCUGAGGAAAACUGACAGCUUGUCACUAGACAUUGCAAUUCUGUUGUGGCACGAUUCAUUCUUAUUCAGUAGGCAUGGCUGAAAUGUUUACCCACCAUCAGCCUGAACCAACAGCAAACUAAGACAAGGCUGGCUUGAUUUUUCCAAGGAAGAGCUACUUCUAAUCAGAGAUCUGAAUUGUGGGCCAUAGGCUUCCAGGGGCCACAAAGUCCCAAAUUUUCACAGGAUCACAAAUGGCUUGUAUGUUGAUGGAAUGAAGAAUCGAAGUUCAUAAAGGCAUUUGGCUGGGGCGGGAGUUAAAGCCUGGGGCU
rnacentral:lncRNA from 1 species